rnacentral:lncRNA from 1 species
UUCCAUCGCAGGUAGCUAGUAUGUAGAAGAACAAAGCCUGGGGCCCUGAGAUAAAUGGAAUGCCAUUUUUAUGCAUGGCAUCCAUUUUGAUUUCGCAGCUGUCCUUUUGAUGCUGAUUCUAGUAAUUCUGAAAAGCUUCAUUAAUAAGGGCACUUCAGGUCUUUUUGUGACUGAUGACUGAAGACCGAGAGAGGAGGAGGUUGGAGGUGAUCAGUGAGUCCAUUUUCUUGAGUCCAUUGCCUUGGUUCUGUCUCUAACUGUUAAGUGUCAAGAUCGGA